rnacentral:lncRNA from 1 species
CCCUGGCUUGCCCAGGGCAGUUGGUCUUCUAGGGCUGGCACAACCUCCCUUCACCUGUGACAUCAGUGCUGGCUGCCAUGUGUGUGUCCCAGCCCUGCCAAUGUGUUGGUACAAUGUAUCUGCACAAUGCAGUUUAUUCUCACUAAAUCUUCCCUUACAUUGUGCUGAUGUUACUGUUUCCCAGCAUGCAGUGGCUCUCUGGUGACCUUAAUGGGAAAGGAGCCAGCCUCUAGCAAAUCUCGUUUUUGAGGAAGGAGAAACAUGACCAUGAGGCAGGCAAUAAAUAAAGGUCCAGGGCAGCGAGGGCAGCAAGGAAGGAAACAUACUGUUUUGUCCAGCUGCAUCAAGCAAUAGGCACAUGCAGGAAUCUGUCCUGUCUGAUUUGGUUUGCUGUUUCUUUUAAAGGACAUUUCUCUGGAGAGGCUAAUUCUCCUGCUUUUAUUCCUGCUUUUUCAGCUGCCACAAGAGGGCUGGAGAGGAGACUGGAUUGUGCAGGACUCCUGGCCAUUCUGAUCUAGGAGACAGGGCGUGGCAAAACUGGCUGGGGAAACUGUCAAUCACCAGUUCCCAGGUAACUUGAAGACCCAUAUGUGGAACUUCCCACAAGCCUUCACGCAGUGUGGACAGCGUAAAAAGGACUGGCUCUCACAGAAAGCCUAUCGUGCGUGAGUUUGCACAGUAGCCUGGCGUGUCUGAUAGCGGCGUGUACUUCUAUUUUUGCUUUUACCGUCUUUUUCUUUUUGUCCGGCCCAAGCUUGCUCUGCAGAGCUGAUUUCUCCUAUACCCUUUUACCCCACACUUUUCAAAUAAACUUUUUGUCACAGUUAUUGGUUUGUCUCAUCCAAUUC